AUGUCAUCACAGUUUUGGAGGGAGAGAAGAAUACAUAGAGAUGAGAGAAUUUCUCUUGAAUAUUAUUUCUCUGAUUUUCUAGUGAGUUUCUCCUACCUUUUUUUGAGUUUUUCUUGUGUAGAAUCAAAACCUCUCGUGAAGUUUUCUCCCUCCUCUUCUCAAAUGAAUCCCCAAAUUUUUGUUAUGAGUUAG